AUUCCUACGGGAGGCAGCAGUGGGGAAUAUUGGACAAUGGGGGGAACCCUGAUCCAGCGACGCCGCGUGAGUGAAGAAGUAUUUCGGAAUGUAAAGCUCUAUCGGCAGGGAAGAAAGAAAUGACGGUACCUGACUAAGAAGCCCCGGCUAACUACGGGCCAGCAGCCGGGGGAAUACGUAGGGGGCAAGCGUUAUCCGGAUUUACUGGGGGUAAAGGGAGCGUAGACGGGG
rnacentral:rRNA from 1 species